CCCGCACAAGCGGCGGAGCAUGUGGCUUAAUCGACGCAACGCGAAGAACCUUACCAGGGUUUGACAUGUGCGUGAAAACCGUGGAAACAUGGUCCUCCUUCGGGACGCGUGCACAGGUGGUGCAUGGCUGUCGUCAGCUCGUGUCGUGAGAUGCUGGGUUAAGUCCCGCAACGAGCGCAACCCUUAUCGCAUGUUGCCAGCGGGUUAUGCCGGGAACUCAUGCGAGACUGUCGGUGUCAAACCGGAGGAAGGUGGGAUGACGUCAAGUCAUCAUGCCCCUUAUGCCCUGGGCUGCACACGUGCUACAAUGGCCGGUACAGAGGGCUGCGAUACCGCGAGGUGGAGCGAAUCCCAAAAAGCCGGUCUAAGUUCGGAUUGGAGGCUGCAACUCGCCUUCAUGAAGUCGGAGUCGCUAGUAAUCGCGAAUCAGCAAUGUCGCGGUGAAUACGUUCCCGGGCCUU
rnacentral:rRNA from 1 species